GACGAACGCUGGCGGCGUGCUUAACACAUGCAAGUCGAACGGAAAGGCCCUGCUUUUGUGGGGUGCUCGAGUGGCGAACGGGUGAGUAACACGUGAGUAACCUGCCCUUGACUUUGGGAUAACUUCAGGAAACUGGGGCUAAUACCGGAUAGGAGCUCCUGCUGCAUGGUGGGGGUUGGAAAGUUUCGGCGGUUGGGGAUGGACUCGCGGCUUAUCAGCUUGUUGGUGGGGUAGUGGCUUACCAAGGCUUUGACGGGUAGCCGGCCUGAGAGGGUGACCGGCCACAUUGGGACUGAGAUACGGCCCAGACUCCUAUGGGAGGCAGCAGUGGGGAAUAUUGCACAAUGGGCGGAGGCCUGAUGCAGCAACGCCGCGUGCGGGAUGACGGCCUUCGGGUUGUAAACCGCUUUCGCCUGUGACGAAGCGUGAGUGACGGUAAUGGGUAAAGAAGCACCGGCUAACUACGUG
rnacentral:rRNA from 1 species